rnacentral:lncRNA from 1 species
AUGAUUAUCAUAAAGUCCCAUAUUGGAAAAACACUCAAUAAUACAAAUGCUUAUAAGGGGUUACAUAACACUUUGAUAUUGCCGAGCCUAGUAGUAUGAGCUUGUAACUAAGCAGAGCAUUAAAGUGAUUAGUUGUUUGAACUAAACCUUGUUAUGUGAGGUAUGAUGGUCUUAAGCUGUUCACCUUGUGUGAAAUCGCAUUAAGCACACCCCUACCCUCGGGUUAGUAGGGCCCCCCAACCUCAAUAGUUGGGUUGCAAACCAAAAAUAUGGAUAUGAUUGGGGUGUUGGGUUCCAUUCCUAGACCCCACAGAUCAAGAGCCACUAUACCUUGGUGUGCUGCCUGGCUUGCACUCUCAUCACACAAUCACUUUUUGUCUCUUCCUUUCACAUCGAAAAACCAAAUUUCAUAAUUUAGUUUCAUCCUAUUUGAGUUUUUGUUUAAUUAUUAUCAUUGAAAACUAAAUUAUUUUAAAAAAAAUUAAAAAAAAAAGGUUUGGGUCAUUUCCUCCUUGUGUUUGUAUACG